UACGGGGGGGGCAAGCGUUGUUCGGAAUUACUGGGCGUAAAGGGUUCGUAGGUGGCUUGCUAAGUCAGACGUGAAAUCCCUCAGCUUAACUGGGGAACUGCGUCUGAGACUGGUGAGCUUGAGUGCAGGAGAGGAACGCGGAAUUCCAGGUGUAGCGGUGAAAUGCGUAGAUAUCUGGAGGAACACCGGUGGCGAAGGCGGCAUCCUGGACCAAUACUGACGCUGAGGAGCGAAAGCGUGGGGAGCGAACAGG
rnacentral:rRNA from 1 species